ACUUUUCUUAGAUUUGCCUGUACUUUUACUCUGUGUAUCACCAUCGCCACCACCACCGCUAUCGAGCGAUGGGAAGCCGGAGGGUUAUACACAAUUUUACCAUUAUUUCUUGUUUUCAAUGAAUAAAUUGCCUUUUAUCAGCAAUUUUUCUGGCUGGAUCAAACAGAAAAUUUGAAACACGUGCGAAAUAAUUUGUUUUGAUGGCAAACUGAAUUUGUAAA